CGUAUCCAGGGCAGUUCCAACUACAGGCUGGGGAAUACGCUUUUCAGUUUGUCAUGGAGGGCUUUCGAUGGGACCAUGGAGAGUCUUGACUUUUAGGUCUCUUACUCCCCACUUCCUCAUCCAAGCCUGAGUGCCUUUACAGCCACAAGGAACCUGUUCUUUUUGAAUCGCCACACGUGAAUGAUCAGACAUGUCGCACAGGCGGCGCAGGACUUUCCGGAGGAAACCACAGCACUGGGAUGGGAGACUGACAGAACGAAGCAGAUAAAGAAGAAGAAGAAUGGGAUGCAGUGGAAAAACUUCCAGAUUUAGUAUUACUACAAGGUACUACAGGGUACUGCACAUUUAUUGUGUUGUAAUAUAUUACUUCAUCCGAACAAAAUAAUAUAAAUUUCACCCAACUGCCAUAUUCUCAAGGACACGUCCUUCUAUCAGCAUUUAUGUGUGCAUCAACAAAACAUUGUUCUGGUAACCUUGUUUUGGAGGAUUCCAUGAAACCUUGGGUAUAUUCACACAUAU